rnacentral:rRNA from 1 species
UACGGAGGGUGCAAGCGUUGUCCGGAAUCACUGGGCGUAAAGGGCGCGUAGGCGGCUCAUGAAGGCUGUGGUGAAAGUCCGGGGCUCAACUCCGGAUCUGCGGUGGGUACGGGCAGACUAGAGUGCAGUAGGGGAGACUGGAAUUCCUGGUGUAGCGGUGAAAUGCGCAGAUAUCAGGAGGAACACCGAUGGCGAAGGCAGGUCUCUGGGCUGUAACUGACGCUGAGGAGCGAAAGCAUGGGGAGCGAACAGG